ACGAAGCCAUGCAUGCCCGCUCACCCGGGACGCGGCGGACGGCUCAGGACAACGGUUGCACCCCCCGCGGCGGUCCCUGCUAGCCGGACACCGCUGGCAACCCGGCGCCAAGACGUGCGCGCAAGGGCGGGCGCCCGCGGGCGAGCAGCGUGACGCAGCGACGGCCCGCCCGGGCUUCCGGGGCAUCACCCGGUCGGCGCGGUCGCGGCGCGCCGAGGGCCCGACG
rnacentral:rRNA from 1 species